UACGGGGGGGGGCGAGCGUUGUCCGAAGUUACUGGGCGUAAAGCGCGUGUAGGCGGGUUGUUAAGUCCGCUGUGAAAGCCCGGUGCUCAACGCCGGAGGGUCGGUGGAUACUGGCAGUCUUGAAGUGGCUAGGGGGAAAUGGAAUUACCGGUGUAGCGGUGAAAUGCGUAGAUAUCGGUAGGAACACCAGUGGCGAAGGCGGUUUCCUGGAGCCCACUUGACGCUGAGACGCGAAAGCUGGGGGAGACAAACGGGG
rnacentral:rRNA from 1 species